rnacentral:rRNA from 1 species
GAUGAACGCUAGCGGCAGGCUUAAUACAUGCAAGUCAAGGGGUCAGCAAUGGCACCGGCGGACGGGUGAGUAACGCGUACACAACGUACCUUUAACUGGGGGAUAGCAUUUGGAAACGAGUGGUAAUACCGCAUGUGGUUGUAGGGAGGCAUCUUUUGCAACUAAAACUCAGGUGGUUAAAGAUCGGUGUGCGUCCGAUUAGCUAGUUGGUGAGGUAAUGGCUCACCAAGGCGACGAUCGGUAGGGGGCGUGAGAGCGUGAACCCCCACACGGGUACUGAGACACGGACCCGACUCCUACGGGAGGCAGCAGUAAGGAAUAUUGGUCAAUGGAGGCAACUCUGAACCAGCCAUGCCGCGUGAAGGAAGAAGGCGCUAUGCGUUGUAAACUUCUUUUGGGUGGGAAGAAAAUGGUCAAUUUAUUGACAACUGACGGUACCAUCAGAAUAAGCACCGGCUAACUCCGUG